rnacentral:rRNA from 1 species
UCGUCACACUAUCAUUAACUGAAUCCAUAGGUUAAUGAGGCGAACCGGGGGAACUGAAACAUCUAAGUACCCCGAGGAAAAGAAAUCAACCGAGAUUCCCCCAGUAGCGGCGAGCGAACGGGGAGGAGCCCAGAGCCUGAAUCAGCAUGUGUGUUAGUGGAAGCGUCUGGAAAGGCGCGCGAUACAGGGUGACAGCCCCGUACACAAAAGCGCAUGUGCUGUGAGCUCGAUGAGUAGGGCGGGACACGUGGUAUCCUGUCUGAAUAUGGGGGGACCAUCCUCCAAGGCUAAAUACUCCUGACUGACCGAUAGUGAACCAGUACCGUGAGGGAAAGGCGAAAAGAACCCCGGCGAGGGGAGUGAAAAAGAACCUGAAACCGUGUACGUACAAGCAGUGGGAGCCCCACCACCAAAGCAUUUGCUGUACCGCGUUGACGGAGCGAAGCGACGUCAAACCGAUAAAACAGCAGUGUAAAGUGAGCCGCAGGGCGC